GAAAUGCGAUAAGUAAUGUGAAUUGCUGAAUUCCGUGAAUCAUCGAAUCUUUGAACGCACAUUGCGCCCUCUGGCAUUCCGGGGGGCAUGCCUGUCCGAGCGUCAUUACGCACCCUCAAGCCCGGCUUGUGUGAUGGGCCCCGGCGUCUCGUUCGCGAGACGGGCCCGAAAGGCAGCGGCGGCGUCGACCCGAUGAGCCCGAGCGUAUGGGGACUUCUGUCACACGUUCGCGGUGCGGACCGGCGCCUGCUUGACUUUUCUGAUUAUCCAGGUUGACCUCGGAUCAGGUAGGGAUACCCGCUGAACUUAAGC
rnacentral:misc_RNA from 1 species